UACGUAGGGGGCAAGCGUUAUCCGGAUUUACUGGGUGUAAAGGGUGCGUAGGUGGCUAUGCAAGUUUGAUGUGAAACCUUAAGGCUUAACCUUAAGCAUGCAUCAAAAACUGCAAAGCUAGAGUGCAGGAGAGGAAAGUGGAAUUCCUAGUGUAGCGGUGAAAUGCGUAGAUAUUAGGAGGAACACCAGUAGCGAAGGCGGCUUUCUGGACUGUAACUGACACUGAGGCACGAAAGCGUGGGGAGCAAACAGG
rnacentral:rRNA from 1 species